rnacentral:rRNA from 1 species
CCGAUGGCGGGGGAUAACUACUGGAAACGGUAGCUAAUACCGCAUAACGUCGCAAGACCAAAGAGGGGGACCUUCGGGCCUCUUGCCAUCGGAUGUGCCCAGAUGGGAUUAGCUAGUAGGUGGGGUAACGGCUCACCUAGGCGACGAUCCCUAGCUGGUCUGAGAGGAUGACCAGCCACACUGGAACUGAGACACGGUCCAG